GAUGAACGCUGGCGGCGUGCCUAAUACAUGCAAGUCGAGCGAACAGACGAGGAGCUUGCUCCUCUGACGUUAGCGGCGGACGGGUGAGUAACACGUGGAUAACCUACCUAUAAGACUGGGAUAACUUCGGGAAACCGGAGCUAAUACCGGAUAAUAUAUUGAACCGCAUGGUUCAAUAGUGAAAGACGGUUUUGCUGUCACUUAUAGAUGGAUCCGCGCCGCAUUAGCUAGUUGGUAAGGUAACGGCUUACCAAGGCAACGAUGCGUAGCCGACCUGAGAGGGUGAUCGGCCACACUGGAACUGAGACACGGUCCAGACUCCUACGGGAGGCAGCAGUAGGGAAUCUUCCGCAAUGGGCGAAAGCAUGACGGAGCAACGCCGCGUGAGUGAUGAAGGUCUUCGGAUCGUAAAACGCUGUUAUUAGGGAAGAACAAAUGUGUAAGUAACUAUGCACGUCUGGACGGUACCUAAGCAGAAAGCCACGGCUAACUACGU
rnacentral:rRNA from 1 species